AAUCAACGCUGGCGGCGUGCCUAACACAUGCAAGUCGAACGCGAAAGGGGGCUUCGGCUCCUAAGUAGAGUGGCGUCCGGGUGAGUAACACGUAGGUAAUCUGCCUUCGGGUGGGGAAUAACCAGUCGAAAGAUUGGCUAAUACCGCAUAAUGCAGCGGCACCUAAUGGUGAUUAGUUGUUAAAGCGGGGGAUCGUAAGACCUCGCGCCUGAAGAGGAGCCUGCGGCAGAUUAGCUAGUUGGUGAGGUAAUGGCUCACCAAGGCUUCGAUCUGUAGCUGGUCUGAGAGGACGGCCAGCCACACUGGCACUGACACACGGGCCAGACUCCUACGGGAGGCAGCAGUGGGGAAUUUUGGGCAAUGGGCGAAAGCCUAACCCAGCAACGCCGCGUGAGGGAGGAAAUCCUUCGGGAUGUAAACCUCACAAGCAAGGGAAGAGAGCUCAGGGCCGAAUAAGCUUUGAGUCCGACGGUACCUUGCGUAAGCCACGGCUAACUACGUGCCA
rnacentral:rRNA from 1 species